AGGACGAACGCUGGCGGCGUGCUUAACACAUGCAAGUCGAGCGGUAAGGCCUUUCGGGGUACACGAGCGGCGAACGGGUGAGUAACACGUGGGUGAUCUGCCCUGCACUCUGGGAUAAGCCUGGGAAACCGGGUCUAAUACCGGAUAUGACCUGCUCUCGCAUGGGGGUGGGUGGAAAGAUUUAUCGGUGCAGGAUGGGCCCGCGGCCUAUCAGCUUGUUGGUGGGGUAAUGGCCUACCAAGGCGACGACGGGUAGCCGACCUGAGAGGGUGACCGGCCACACUGGGGCUGAGACACGGCCCAGACCCCUACGGGAGGCAGCAGUGGGGAAUAUUGCACAAUGGGCAAAGCCUGAUGCAGCGACGCCGCGUGAGGGAUGAAGGCUUGGGUUGUAAACUCUUCAGCAGGAGAAGCGCAAGUGACGGUACCCGCAGAAGAAGCACCGCUAACUACGUGCCAGCAGCCGC
rnacentral:rRNA from 1 species